AUUAGACAAUGGUAUUGUAUUGUAUCCAAAUUGUUUACAGAAAUCUCUUAGUUCCUUUUGCCCGUCAUCCUUUGUUUAUCGAGUUAUCGUUUUAAUUUUAGGUCUGUACAAAGGGCAAGUCCUUCUGAACAUAUCUCAGCAGAUAGUUCUCCUAAAGUAUAUAUAGAAUAUGAGAUUAUUCCUCCAUGUUUAUUUUUUAGUCUAGUUUUUACCUUUUCGGCAAAAAGGUGAGGUAAGCUUCGUAUAAAUUUUUCUUUCCAGUGGUCUGUACUACUAUCUUCUCGAGAAAGAAGUACUUUCAACAAAAUGGAGUGUUAUUGUAUAAAUGAGGGUGUUAACCGCAUCACUUUCACUUUGGAUUAUAUCUUGAUUGAAUUCGUUUUUUAUCGUCCUUUGUCUUGUAGCAUUCAAAAUUUGUUGCUUAGCGGUUUCAUUCAUAUGAAAAUCCCACCAGCCUCUUAGCCAUUCUGUAAAUCCACAGACAAUAGCCUUAGCUACUUCCUGAUCAUGGCUCCCAGCUAUUUUACAGGUUGUAGCAUACAUGGUUAUGUAUUUCAUAGUACCUUGUAUUUGAUGAUCUGACAUGCCAUUAAUAUUCCAAUUAACAAUUGACCUUCCUGAGUAAGAGACAAUACUUGAUAUCAAAUCUUCUUCGAACUGUAUAUCUACAGGAGUUGGUCUAGAAUGAUACAUUCUUGUAUGAGAAGGUGGCCUAAAUUUUCUCCCAUAAUCAAUUCUAUUUAUUUCCAAAUUAGCUUAGGCUCCUUCUAUUUUUUCUAUUUCAUUAGUAGAGUCCUCUUGUAAGACCAUAGCUUCUGAUUCUACCAUAACUCCUUUCCCUUCCUAUCUUCCUUUAUAUUCAGCUUUGAUAAUUUUUUAACCAAUUCAUCUAUCAGUUCUUGGUUCUCUUCCUUUUUCUUAGUUCCUUCUAAGCUGAAUCUUCCUUUGUUAAUCUCUGGAGGGGGUUUGAACAUAACAGCUUUUUUUUUCUCUUCUUUAGGAGUAAUUUUGGUUUUAUUUACUAUAUUUUCAAUUCUAGUGGUUUGUUUACCAAUAGACUGUAAAUACAAGUUUGUAUAAUUAUUUUGUUCCAGGAUAUGAGGGAUUAUAUCUAUCUUAUGACUAUGAUGUUCAUUUUCUUUUAAAAUUAUUUUAUAUGGAGAAGCUUUUGUUUCAGGUUUCUCUUUGGAUAUUCCUUUGAUUUGAAGGCUUCUCUCAAGAGGGUGUUUGCUUUGUAUUUCUUCUCCCUCAGUUGUAUGGAAGACUUCAUAUUGGCUUUCCAAUGUGUGGAGCCCAACAUCAGAAACUGGAAUAUUUUUCUCAUUCAAGGUUUAUCGGCUGUGGCUUCGGAUCCCAAGGUUUCAUGGCAUCGUGGGAGCACAAUGGAAUGACAAAAUCUUGGAUUGAGCCCUAGAAAUUGGUGUCGUAUGGAUGGAUUUUUUCGUGUAAAGUGUUUGAGACUUUUCUUCAUGUUAUUCUUUUCCUAGUCUCUAAUGAACAGUGACUCUCUCUCUCUCUCUUUUCCCUAUCUCUUUGAAGUAUUAAAUCCACCCGACUUCAAUGAAAAUUUAGACGCAAAAGGGCAUACCCCAAGGUAUAACCUAUAUGGUGGAGAUUUCAGU